rnacentral:rRNA from 1 species
AACGUAGGACGCAAGCGUUAUCCGGAGUUACUGGGCGUAAAGCGCGGGCAGGCGGUCACUCAAGUCUGAUGUGAAAUCUCUCCGCUCAACGGGGAGCAGCCAUUGGAAACUGGGGCGACUGGAGUCUGGCAGAGGUAGGCGGAAUUCCGGGUGGGAGUGGUGAAAUGCGUGAGAGAUCCGGAGGAACACCAGAGGCGAAGGGACG